rnacentral:rRNA from 1 species
GAUGAACGCUGGCGGCGUGCCUAAUACAUGCAAGUCGAGCGAACAGACGAGGAGCUUGCUCCUCUGACGUUAGCGGCGGACGGGUGAGUAACACGUGGAUAACCUACCUAUAAGACUGGGAUAACUUCGGGAAACCGGAGCUAAUACCGGGUAAUAUAUUGAACCGCAUGGUUCAAUAGUGGAAGACGGGUUUGCUGUCCCUUAUAGAUGGAUCCGCGCCGCAUUAGCUAGUUGGUAAGGUAACGGCUUACCAAGGCGACGAUGCGUAGCCGACCUGAAAGGGUGACAGGCCACACUGGAACGUAGACACGGUCCAGACUCUUACGGGAGGCAGCAGGGGGGAAUCUUCCGCAAUGGGCGAAAGCUUGACGGGGCAACGCCGGUUGGGGGAUGAAGGUCUUCGGUUCGUAAAACUUUGUGAGUAGGGAAGAACAAAUGGGUGAGUACAUAUGCACGUCUUGACGGUACCUAAACAGAAAGCCACGGCUAACUCCGUG